CGCGUAGGCGGCCUUGCAAGUGGAAGGUGAAAUCCCUCGGCUUAACCGAGGAACUGCCUUCCAGACUGCGAGGCUUGAGACCGGGAGAGGUGAGUGGAAUUCCCAGUGUAGCGGUGAAAUGCGUAGAUAUUGGGAGGAACACCAGUGGCGAAGGCGGCUCACUGGACCGGUACUGACGCUGAUGCGCGAAAGCGUGGGGAGCAAACG
rnacentral:rRNA from 1 species